rnacentral:rRNA from 1 species
AGAGUUUGAUCCUGGCUCAGAACGAACGCUGGCGGCGUGCUUAACACAUGCAAGUCGAACGAGAAAGUUUCCUUCGGGAAAUGAGUAGAGUGGCGCACGGGUGAGUAACGCGUAGGUAAUCUACCUUCGAAUUGGGGAUAACGUUGCGAAAGCGACGCUAAUACCGAAUAACAUCCAUUAAUCUUCGGGUUUUUGGAUCAAGGGUGGCCUCUACAUGUAAGCUACUGUUUGAAGAUGAGCCCGCGUACCAUUAGCUUGUUGGUGGGGUAAUGGCCUACCAAGGCUUCGAUGGUUAGCUGGUCUGAGAGGAUGAUCAGCCACACUGGAACUGACACACGGUCCAGACUCCUACGGGAGGCAGCAGUGAGGAAUUUUGCGCAAUGGGGGAAACCCUGACGCAGCGACGCCGCGUGAGUGAGGAAGGCCUUCGGGUCGUAAAGCUCUGUCAGAUGGGAAGAAGUGUAUUGCGGUUAAUACCCGUAGUAUUUGACGGUACCAUCAGAGGAAGCACCGGCUAACUCCGUGCCAGCAGCCGCGGUAAUACGGAGGGUGCAAGCGUUGUUCGGAAUCACUGGGCGUAAAGGGCGCGCAGGCGGCUUUUUAAGUCAGAUGUGAAAUCCCACGGCUCAACCGUGGAAGUGCAUUUGAAACUGGGGGGCUUGAGUACCAGAGGGGAAGGUGGAAUUCCUGGUGUAGCGGUGAAAUGCGUAGAUAUCAGGAGGAACACCGGUGGCGAAGGCGACUUCCUGGACCAAUACUGACGCUGAGGCGCGAAGGCGUGGGGAGCAAACAGGAUUAGAUACCCUGGUAGUCCACGCAGUAAACGGUGAACACUAGGUGUAGCGGGUAUUGACCCCUGCUGUGCCGCAGCAAACGCAUUAAGUGUUCCGCCUGGGGAGUACGACCGCAAGGUUAAAACUCAAAGGAAUUGACGG